rnacentral:lncRNA from 1 species
CCUAUGAAGACUGCAGAUUGAUGAUUUCAGCAGGACAGCUAACAUUGCCUAUGGAAGCUGGGCUGGUGGAAUUUACUAAAAUUAGCCGAAAAUUGAAAUUAGAUUGGGAUGGUGUUCGUAAGCAUUUGGAUGAAUAUGCAUCUAUUGCGAGUUCCUCAAAAGGAGGAAGAAUUGGAAUUGAAGAAUUCGCCAAGUAUUUAAAGUUGCCUGUUUCAGAUGUCUUGAGACAACUUUUUGCACUCUUUGACAGGGUAUGUUAAAAUUUAAUCUUUCACAUUUUUACUCUGUCAGUCCUACAGUGAGUAAAUCAAUAUGGUAGGCAAUUUGAAAAACUUGAUAGGUCAGUGUUAGAAGAAUCAAGGCUGAGCCUAUGGUUUAAUUGCAUGAUUUUGUUUUUUUCUCCUUAAUAGUAAUAUUAAUAAUUGUGUGUGUGUAUUGUAACAUUUAUUAUACUGUCAUAUAUAAUAAAAUAUCAUAUCAUA